AAACUCUGUCGUGCUGGGGAUAGAGCAUUGCAAUUAUUGCUCUUCAACGAGGAAUUCCUAGUAAGCGCAAGUCAUCAGCUUGCGCUGAUUACGUCCCUGCCCUUUGUACACACCGCCCGUCGCUACUACCGAUUGAAUGGCUAAGUGAGGCUUUCGGACUGGCCCAGGUCGGGUGGCAACACCUAACCAAGGCCGGAAAGUUGUCCAAACUUGGUCAUUUAGAGGAAGUAAAAGUCGUAACAAGGUUUCACUCCUGAACAACGAGCCCUUCGUAGUACUAUGGAAGCCUUUGCAACCCCCCGGGGGUCCCCGACUAUAACUGGGACAGCAAGUCGCCUCGGCGGCAACAUGAUCGAAUUGCGGGGACGUCCUAAAGCUCUCACCACUCCCCUCCAUCAGAAACGAUGGGGGCUCGUCACAGCGUGAGAGAUGUACAAUGGGCGAUCCGCAGCGAAGCCCCGUCAGCCUACCCUGUAGGCCCGGGGACCGUUCACAGACUAGGUGGUCAUGGGCACCGCGGUGCUUAAGAUAUAGUCGGCCAGCUGGGGAAACCUGACUGCUAGCGCGUUCCGUAGGUGAACCUGCGGAAGGAUCAUUACAGAGUUCCUGCCCUCACGGGUAGAAACCCCACCCUUGUGUAUAUUAUAUUGUUGCUUUAGCAGGUCGCCCUCUGGGCGUCGGCCUCGGCUGACUGUGCCUGCUAGAGGACCCUAAAUUUUGAAAUACAGUGUCGUCUGAGUACUAUUUAAUAGUUAAAACUUUCAACAACGGAUCUCUUGGUUCUGGCAUCGAUGAAGAACGCAGCGAAAUGCGAUAAGUAAUGUGAAUUGCAGAAUUCAGUGAAUCAUCGAAUCUUUGAACGCACAUUGCGCCCCUUGGUAUUCCGGGGGGCAUGCCUGUUCGAGCGUCAUUUAGACCAACUCCCGCUCCGGCGGGGUCUUGGGCUGCGCCUUUGGGCGGGCCUUAAAACCAGUGGCGGUGCCCUAAGGCUCUACGCGUAGUAAUUCUUCUCGCGAUAGGGUCCUUGCGGUGUCUUGCCAGCAACCCCCAACUCUCUAGGGUUGACCUCGGAUCAGGUAGGGAUACCCGCUGAACUUAAGCAUAUCAAUAAGCGGAGGAAAAGAAACCAACAGGGAUUACCUCAGUAACGGCGAGUGAAGCGGUAACAGCUCAAAUUUGAAAUCUGGCGCUUUCAGCGUCCGAGUUGUAAUUUGUAGAAGAUGCUUUGGGUGUGGCUCCGGUCUAAGUUCCUUGGAACAGGACGUCAUGGAGGGUGAGAAUCCCGUAUGUGACUGGCUGCCUUCGCCCGUGUAAAGCUUUUUCGACGAGUCGAGUUGUUUGGGAAUGCAGCUC
rnacentral:rRNA from 1 species